rnacentral:rRNA from 1 species
AGAAUCAACGCUGGCGGCGUGCCUAACACAUGCAAGUCGAACGAGAAAGUGGAGCAAUCCAUUAGUAAAGUGGCGCACGGGUGAGUAACACGUGACUAACCUACCCUUGAGUGGGGGAUAACCUAGGGAAACCUGGGCUAAUACCGCAUAAUACCUUCGGGUCAAAGGAGCAAUUCGCUUAAGGAGGGGGUCGCGGCCGAUUAGUUAGUUGGCGGGGUAAUGGCCCACCAAGACGAUGAUCGGUAUCCGGCCUGAGAGGGCGCGACGGACGACGACUGGAACUGAAACACGGUCCAGACUCCUACGGGAGGCAGCAGUGGGGAAUUUUGCGCAAUGGGGGAAACCCUGACGCAGCAACGCCGCGUGGAGGAUGAAGCCCCUUGGGGCGUAAACUCCUUUCGAUCGGGACGAUUAUGACGGUACCGGAAGAAGAAGCCCCGGCUAACUUCGUGCCAGCAGCCGC